rnacentral:misc_RNA from 1 species
GGAAGGUAGCAGUGGCAGUUCUAACAGGUCAUCAGGCAAGAAGCUGUCAGAGUUGGAAACACUACAGAAACAGCAUGAGGAGAAGACAAGAAUGAUUCAAGAACUGAAAAGCCAAAUUGAAUCAGUGAAGCUUCACUUGGAGAAGAGGAGGAGGGAAGUUCCAGAGGAGAAGAAGGAAUCUUUCAAGAACUUGAGUGAGAAAUACAACAGCCACAGAGAGGAAUACAAUGCUUUGUUGGCUGAAAAAUCAAGGGAAUAGGUUGCCUUGGUCAGACGUUAAACUCAAAUAUUAUGUUUUUCUUGUAAACUUUAGGUAUUUAUAUUCUGCUUUAAUUUCCCUUUCUUGUAGAACUCUUCAUGUUUAAUUUUUAACCUUCCUUUCAUAUCUCUUUUGUAAUUGUUAAAUUGUUUGGGACUUUAGACAUCAGGUUACUCCUGGAAGCAAAACUGAGUUUGUACUUGGGCUGCCUGUAAGACCG